rnacentral:rRNA from 1 species
GACGAACCGUGCGAACGUUGUUCGGAAUCACUGGGCUUAAAGGGCGCGUAGGCGGCCCGCCGCGUCCGGGGUGAAAUCCUCCCGCUCAACGGGAGAACGGCCUCGGAUACGGGCGGGCUGGAGGCGGGUAGGGGCGGGCGGAACUGUGGGUGGAGCGGUGAAAUGCGUAGAUAUCUGGAGGAAUACCGGUGGCGAAGGCGGCAUCCUGGACCAUUACUGACGCUGAGGCGCGAAAGCUAGGGGAGCAAACGGG